rnacentral:lncRNA from 1 species
AAUGGAUUGCCUUAUGAGAUAGUGAAUCCUGUCUUCUAUUCUGAGAUGAACCUGUCAGGCCCAUCCCCUUGUGGUUUGGGUCAAAGAUCGCAAUGAUAUGAGAUGUAGGUCUUUUAACAGUUAACUAAAGGAUUGAAUAUGGUCAAUGAGGAAAUUUGUUUUGCUUAAUUAUACAAAAAAGGAUUUCCUUUAAUUUUUUUCAUUCUCAACUGAGGACAAAUCUGGGUUGGGGUAGGAAGGAGAGAAGGUAGAUAUUUGCUCAUUAAAAAAUAAUAAAAUGUAAUUAAAAAAAUAAAGAACAAAACAAUUCAGCAACAACAGAAUGGUUAAUAAAAAGAGAUUUAUUUGACCACAGCAAGGGAAGGAUCUUCUACUGGCCAGGGAAGAAGUGUGUGGAAAGUAAAUAAGACCAACAGUUUGUGGGGGAAGGGCCCGACUGGGAGUGGCAGUUGGGUCUUGUGACUAGCACUUCCUUCCUGCCCGGAGGGGCAGUGGAGUCUGGUGACUAGUCCUUCCUUCCUGCGAGGUGGGUCUUGUGUCCUGGGGUUGGAGGAGAGUGGAGCUUGUUCAGCCCAGUCUGGAGUGGCAUGCUCUUCUUGGUUCAGCCCAAAGACACAGGCUUCUAAAGAAGGAAGAUAGAAGCAAUUUAGUUUAUUAAGUACAGAUUAACAAUAGACAAUAGGAAUUUGAAGCCCAAGAGAAGGGAAUUGAUUUUCACCUCUAAUGGGUUCAAGCAAUUUGCAUGACAUUAGUAGGAAGAUGACUAACAUGGUAAAAGCACUGGAGAAUAUGCCUUGGAAAGAGAAGACUGGAGUAAGACAAGAGAACUUCUGUGCUUCAAAUUUUCAAAAGUUCUCAUAUUGGAGGUAA